AGAAUCACCACAUCCCACAUUACACUACUAUGACUUUGUUCAGUUUGUUGAUUUUACCUGCUUCUAAAUAUUUACAUUCAAUGAAUAAUCACCAAGUUUUGAGUAAUUUCAAGAAAUAUAGGAAAAAUCUGUAUUUUUAAAGGUGACACUCUUUAGAAUAUGGCAGUAAAGAAGGUGAGGAUCUGAGCCAAAGUAGAAAGAUGUGAAGAACAGAAAAGACAAAAGAACUGUAUAUCUAGGAAAUACUACCAUAGACUAUCAGACAUUAUUGGAUACCAAUUUUUAAAUAUGUUUCCAAAUAGGCUGACACCAACAAUUCAGUUUAUUGUAUGUAAUUUUUUAAAUUAUGGAUAGGUAUCUACUCCAAGAGGAGGUCAUAGACGCCAGGAGGUAAAUCCAGAUUUGGAACAAAGCGACACUUUGAUUUGUGCAAGUAUUGAGCAAAUUCCCACCCAGUCAACAUCUCAUCUUAGAGAACAGUAUGGAUUUCUAAAGAUUUUUGAAAAGACAUGGAUACUGUUCCUAUAAGCUACAUAAAUCCUACGAACAAUUCCCUGUGGAUCAAUAUCACUGUUUACAAUUCUGUCAAAAUACAAUGGAAAUGUCACAUCGAGAUGAAUAUUUUUUGGAGAAUGUUUUGUUCACUGAUGAAUGUUCAUUUUCAUUGCAUUCAAUAAACGCUCGAUAUUGGUCUCGAGACAGUUAAUGAUGGGGAUGAAAACUGGUCCCCCAGUUAAUGAUGGAGAUGAAAACUGGUUCAUUUUUCUUUUUAUAAAGAAAAAUAAAUCCUAAGAUUUUCAUCACUCUGUUUACCAAAACCUACCCAUACCAACCUCUACUUUCAUGUCAGCCUCCAUUAUCCCCCUUCCCAAAUUAUUUUGGCCAAGAAUACCCUUAUUUCCAAAUCAAAACGUCUUUGAGAGGAUUCAAGUAGAUCCGUUGAGCUCUUUUCUUUAAAACAAGCCCUUAUCCAAAAGGGUCCCGUGAAAAUCAUAUUAAUAGGAGAAUAUAUAAAACUUUUCUUCCUAACAUCAAAGUUGUUACUGACAAAAUUCACAAAUUAAGAGAUUGAUUUUGGAAAACUUGAAAUAAUGAAAAUAGAAUAAAAUAAUUUCACUAAUAUUUGUAUAAAUUAUUGAUUACCAUGCUAUUGCAGAUUUUAUUGUUACAUUGUGACUGACAUUUUAUAAUUUUAAUAAAGACCUAUUUUUCACA